AGGAGCUUAGGUUAAUACCCAGACCAAGAGCCUUCAAAGCCCUGAGCGGGAGUUAAAGUCUCCCAGACCCUA
rnacentral:tRNA from 1 species